rnacentral:lncRNA from 1 species
UCUCAAAGAGGGAAAAGCCGUCUUGAGCAAAUCAGUAAAAAAUUUCCUUUUUAGUUAAAAGUUUUGUUUUCAUAAAAGUCGGUGGUUAAUCGGAGUUUUCGAGUUAACGACGAAGAGGUUAUCCGAUGGUUGUGGGUUCGACGAUAGCUCGAGGUUCCGUUUUGCUGAUCAAAAAUCGGUCAGUACUCGACUAUUUUUCUCUUUUAUUGUUGUGUUGCAAUGGUUGUAGCGGUAGUAGCUUUGAUUAUCAACUUGCUUGCUGGGAGUAGCUGUAGAUGGAUGGCUAUUGGGAUAUUAUUUUGCUGAAUCUGUUGUUCGCGUCGUAAUAUUCGAUUCGUUUGUUUUAGAUAUUGUCUCACAGUUGAUAUAAUGGGGUAGUUUAAUUCACAUUCUUUCUUCUCAUUGUCUUGUUCAAAGUCUAAGGCAUUUAUAUGAUAGUUAGAUAACUUUAGUUUGCUUGCCUGUCGAUGUCAAUGUCGAAGAUGAAGAGUCAUCAUGUAACAAAUACUUUCUCCGUUUAAAAAAAGACUUCUCCUUUUUAGUCUAUUUUAAAAAGAAUGAUUUCUAUUCCUUUUUAAUAACUUUUUAAUUUUAACUUUUCAUGUCACAUGUUUAAACCUAUAAGAUUGAAGAGCAUUUUGGUACAUUUGACAUAUCUUUAAUUUAAAACCACAAGAUUCAAAUUAUAUUUUUAAACUCCGUGUCAAGUUAAACUAGGUCAUUCUUUUUUGUAGGGUGUAUAUAGUUUGGUGUUCCGCACCAUUUAGUUACUUGAUUAUCUCUUAUGACAUCAACGUGUAUCUGCAUGUCUAAUCCUGCAAAUUUCCCAUGCAUUAUUAGUGAUCAAGGAUUUCUUCAUCUUUAGAACUUAUUUCCAAGAGCUAUCAGAUUAGUCUAUUCCCAAAUUUGUAUGUAUACAUAUAACCUAUAUUUUCAUUUUUUUUUUAAAGAAACGAAAAAAAAAGGGUUUUGGGGUUUUUGAUUAUGGUCAAUUGAUUUUUUGAUUAUUUGUAAAGUUAUAUACUUUUUCAAUAAAAAUGGAAUUGGUUGAUCAGUAUGAAUCUUCUCCUUUGGUUCCUCCUCCUUUUGUGAUUACUGACCCUAGUGAGAUAGAUCUUGAAGUUGGUUCUGGUGAACAGAUUCAGUGUAGAAUUUGCCUUGAGACUGAUGGUUAUUUUCUUUCUUUUGACCCCUUUAAUUUCCUUUUUCUUGGUUUUGCUGUUUGUUUAUUUUUGGUUACUUAAUGAGGAUUUUUUUUCGGUGUUUGUAACUGUAAAGGAAGCUGCUUUAGAUGAUUCUUGAGACCAUGUGGUAGAAAUGGAAGUAUUUUGGUGAAUUUGUCUUGAAAAUAUGAUACCAUAACCUGAAAUUAUACAAGUUAAGUGUACUAGUCAAUAUACAUACAAACAAACUUGAAUUCUGGUGAUGACAUAAUGAACAGACUAUUACAUCUUGUAAUUCCCUUAGGUUUAUAGUGCUUCCUUGGGCUUCUAUAGCGAUAUCUUGCCAACUUGAGAGUUAUGUUGUCUACAGAAUGUGGAUACUUUUUGCUCUUUGCUUUUGGAUAUCCACUGCCCAGCUUGAUUUUCUAGUUAAAUAUGUUUUGGCUUCAAAAAUUCUGUGUUAGUCGAUUAUUUCCUAAUCUUUGAUGUCAGUACGGUUCUUUUCUUCAUAUUGAUUCUUUGGGUUAUUACUUAUAAGUUAGAUAUCCAUAUUUGAACAUGUAUUAAUUGUUAUAUUUUUCUCUAUGCAUGUGGAUGUAUUUGAGUCCUAAAUGGACUCUUCCCAUUUUUUGCAUUAUUGAUAUGGGCCACUGAGGCCCAUCCUUCUUGAGUCGAUUUUGAAGGCCCAAAAAGAUAAUCACACUACCAAUGGGCAUAAAAGAUAGAAGAAGAAAAAAAAUGGAUUGAAGUCCCAUCGUUGGAGCAGGCGACGAGACUCGAGAGUCUCAUUCUUUUAUUUAUCCAUUGUUGUUCUAUUUAUUUAUUUACUGUUGCUUUAGUUAUUUAUUUCUUCCUUCUGUUAUCUAUUUGGACCUCGAAGCUAAAGUUGUAAACUAAUACAGGUGAAUCGAAAUUCGAGCCCAAAGGUUCGAAAAUAUAGAUUAGGACAGGUGGAAGAUGGGCCGAAAGCCCAAUAUCUAGACUAGGACAGGGUGAUGGAUUUGGGUUUAAAGGCCGAAAUCAUUUAUUUCUUCCCCUCUUUUCCCUUUUUCUAUUUUUAUUUGCUCGGUAUUUGAAUCUAGUUAACUCCUUAGCUAAGUCGCUAAAAAACUGAUUUUGCAAAAACUUUUCCUUAAACAAUCCCUUUUUCAACAAUCGAUUUCUUAUAAAGUUAGUCAAAAGAAAUAAGUUUCAAACAGUCUAGAUAACCGCAAGUUAGCGGAUGUUUUAGUUGCUUUAAAACCUUUUUAAAACGUUAAUAGGAACUGUUUACCUAGAAUUUCAACUUAAAUGAUUUUCCUGUUUUGAAUCAUGUAAGUACUUUACAAAGGUUUCUUAAUUCCUUUUAAAAAUUAAAUGGCGAUUUUUUUAAGUCAAAGUUUUCACAAAACAGGCAAUGGUUUGAGACCAAUAUUACAGACUCGAUUACUCCAAGGAAAUAAAAAUACAACUCUAUGAGCAAUUAGUUCCUUGUUGCAGCUGCAAUCUUUGAUAAGCACUUCCGAGAGAGAUUUUAUUGUGAGAAUUUGAAGUGUUGAUUUUCUUGCUGUGGAAGCUGAGCAUUAUUUAUCGUGACACAAGAAAAUCGAGGCAAACAGGGGACAACAACUUUUCACUAACUUUUGUACUAUGUGUUAGAAAGUUAACAGCGAUAGGUGAGCCCAACCUAUUCCCUACUACGUAGAGGGCCUUUGUCCUCACAACAAUGGCUCUAUGGAGCAGGCCUCAAAUCAUAAAUUUGUCAAUCAUCAAAACUAAGGACUUAACAAAACUCCACUAUUGCUUAUUAACUUUUCUUUAUGUAGUAGAGAGUUGUUGUUCAGCCAUUGUUAAAGCUCAACUUUUCAAAUUUUGAAAAUUAAAUUUCGCGAUUAAGCUUUGUUUUGAGUGUAUUGAUUGCGAAAGAUUGUUUAUGUAUUAAGGAGCCCAAAUAUGAAAUUUGGGUGAUUGGUCUAGCUUUUAAGGUAUUUUUGGAUGAAUUUGGUGUUUUGAUUGAGGAAGAAGAAGAAGUCCAUUUUUUUUUGUAUAAUAGCAUAUAAAAUUGUAUAUUAAGUGUAUAGAUAACUCUUAUAAUUUUGUAUAAUAUUGUAUAUCAAUUUUUGUAAAAUGUAUAUACGAAGUUUUGUAUAUUGUUGUAUACCAGAUUGAAUUUUGGCUAAAAAUUUGUAAUAUAAGUUUUUGGCUAUAUUUCUCAACGUAGGUCAGGAAAUUGUAUAUUUUUGAAAUUAGGGAAAAUCACACACACACACAUAUAUAUAUAAAACUAACAAAGCCUAUUAAUUAAGGUGCGAAAAAAAGGAAAACCCAAAUACCAAUUAAUUAGCAUGAUCUUAUACUCAAUUCUCUUUUCCUUUUUAAAGC